GCCGGUGUAACUCCGGCGCGGCCCCGCCACUGUAACGGGCAGCAGUCGUCGGCUCGAUCCCACUGGGAAACCGGGAAGGGGAGCCGAUGGCCCGAAGCCAGGAGA
rnacentral:ncRNA from 2 species